AUGAUCACUUCGGCAGCACAUAUACUAAAAUUAGAACGAUACAGAGAUUAGCAUUGCCCCUGCGCAAGGAUGACACGCAAAAUUACUCUCUUCCCAAAACUCCU